CAGUCGCCGCGGUAAAACGUAGGGUGCAAGCGUUAAUCGGAAUUACUGGGCGUAAAGCGUGCGCAGGCGGUUUGUUAAGACAGAUGUGAAAUCCCCGGGCUCAACCUGGGAACUGCAUUUGUGACUGGCAAGCUAGAGUAUGGCAGAGGGGGGUGGAAUUCCGCGUGUAGCAGUGAAAUGCGUAGAUAUGCGGAGGAACACCGAUGGCGAAGGCAGCCCCCUGGGCCAAUACUGACGCUCAUGCACGAAAGCGUGGGGAGCAAACAGGAUUAGAUACCCCGGUAGUCCCUGUCUCUUAUAC
rnacentral:rRNA from 1 species